rnacentral:misc_RNA from 1 species
UCUCCGUAGGUGAACCAGCGGAGGGAUCAUUACUAAGAAGAGAUUUAUGGCACUUUAUUAAAUCGAUAUCCACUUUGUGUGCAAGCGGGAUGUUGAUUUUUCUCUGGGGAGGAGCAGCCGCAAACAGCAACUAUAGGACAACUCUUUCUCUGAAAAAUAUGAUUAAUAAAACAAUGCAAAAUACAACUUUCAACAACUGAUCUCUUGUCUCUCGCAUCUAUGAAAAACGCAACAGAUCUCAACAACACACCUCUGAACUCCAGUCUCGCAUAGGAACGC